GGAGAGAUGUCCGAGCUGGCCGAAGGAGCACGAUUGGAAAUCGUGUAGGCGGGCACAACCCGUCUCGAGGGUUCGAAUCCCUCUCUCUCCGCCA
rnacentral:tRNA from 1 species